CCUUGCUGUCUACCUUCUAAUUAUCUACUAAAGUACAAUGAAUUUUUGAGGUUGUCCUCAUUUUAGAAAUGUUCUCAUUAUAGAAACUGAGGCUGAGAGAUAUUAAAUCAUUUACCAGACUUAUUCAGCUGAUAUAUAAAUGGUGGAGAUAGGCUAUAGAUUCUGGUGUCUCCAAGUUCAAAUAAUAUUUUUUUACUACAUCACUAGAGUAUCUGUACUUCUGGAAAUGACACCUUCAACUCUGCUGUCACCAUUAAAGGACUCCUCACCUAUUGACCCUAGUCUAGGCACGCUGAGGUCUAUGUAGUAGAGGUCAGCUUUGUAAACAUACCAAAAAUGUUUUAUUUUCAUCACUACCUUUGGAAGAAGAACUGUCAGGGGCCUGCAGAAACGUUGCUAUCCACUGAAACUCAUCCACUGGAACUCAAUGUGAUGCCUGAAGCGCCAGUUCCAUCCAUCCACUGGAACUCAAUGUGAUGCCUGAAGUGCUAGCCUGCACAAGAAGGACAAGUACCAAAGCUAAGGGAUGUUGGAACGGAAAGAUAGAAGGAGGCUGAAUUCCAGACAAACUGAACUUUUUUGGCCUUUUGAAGAAAAUGGGCCUAAUUGGAGCAUGGUAAUAUCUACUGGGUGCCAUAUAUGCAUAACCACUAAUGGCAGAGCCAUAGAACAUAAUAACCACCAGCAGAUGAGACCCACAUGUAUUGAAGGCCUUCUUGCGACCCUCAAAAGAUUGGAUGCUUACUACUGCUUUGACAAUGUUGACGUAAGAGAACAGAAUUAAUCCAACUGGGAUGACCUUUAUGACCACCACAGCUGCAUACAUCUCCACUUCAUUGAUCCAUGUAUCAACACAUGAUAACUGAAGCAUGGCAGGUACCUCACAGAAGAAAUUCUCCACUUGGUACUGACCACAGCGAGAUAACAAGAAAGUCAGCACUGUUUGCACCAAGGAGUUGCUGAAACCUGUUACCCAAGCCACUGCUGCCAAUUGCUGGCAUAGCCGAGAAUGCAUGAUAACCAUGUAAUGGAGUGGCUGGCAAAUUGCUAUAUAACGAUCAAAGGCCAUUACUGAGAGAAGUACACAUUCAGUGGAUCCUAGACCAAGGGAGAUGAAGAGUUGAGCUACGCAUCCUAUGAAGCUAACGUCUCUCUGAUGGCUCCGUAUAUUUAUCAGCAUCUGGGGAACAGUGGAAGUUGUAUAGCAGAGGUCCAAAAAGGAGAGAUUGGCCAGAAAGAAAUACAUGGGUGUAUGGAGUAUGGGAUCGAGGCAGGAUAAGAUAAUGAUGGCUGAAUUCCCAACGAGGGUCAUUAUGUAGAAGAUGGAGAUGGCCACAAAAAGAGCCAUUUCUAGUCUGGGCCAUUCAGAGAAGCCCACCAGAAUAAAGCCAUUGUUGUAAUAAAAGGUGUUAUUGAAUCUUCUCAUUGCUGUGAUACUAUAUGCUGGUAAUACCAAAGCCAGAAUUUUAGAAGCCUGAUUAUCUUGUGCUUAGAACUAAAUAUUGGCUCAUAAAUCUGCA
rnacentral:lncRNA from 1 species